rnacentral:rRNA from 1 species
CCUACGGGUGGCAGCAGUGGGGAAUAUUGCACAAUGGGGGAAACCCUGAUGCAGCGACGCCGCGUGAGUGAAGAAGUAAUUCGUUAUGUAAAGCUCUAUCAGCAGGGAAGAAAAUGACGGUACCUGAGUAAGAAGCCCCGGCUAACGACGUGCCAGCAGCCGCGGUAAUACGUAGGGGGCAAGCGUUAUCCGGAUUUACUGGGUGUAAAGGGAGCGUAGACGGCCGUGCAAGUCUGGAGGGAAAGGCGGGGGCUCAACCCCCGGACUGCUCUGGAAACUGUCCGGCUGGAGUGCAGGUGUGGUAAGUGUAAUUCCUCUUGUAGCGGUUACAUGCGUAGAUAUUCGGAGGACCACCAGUGGCGCAGGCGGCUUACUGGACUGUAACUGACGUUGCGGCUCGACCGCGUGGGGAGCACACAGGAUUAGCUCCCCGAGUAGUC